rnacentral:rRNA from 1 species
CCUACGGGUGGCAGCAGUGGGGAAUCUUGCGCAAUGCGCGAAAGCGUGACGCAGCAACGCCGCGUGGGGGAAGAAGGCCUUCGGGUUGUAAACCCCUUUCAGUUGGGACGAAGCUUCGCCGGUGAACAGCCGGCUGGAGUGACGGUACCUUCAGAAGAAGCCCCGGCUAACUACGUGCCAGCAGCCGCGGUAAUACGUAGGGGGCUAGCGUUGUCCGGAAUCAUUGGGCGUAAAGCGCGUGUAGGCGGCCCGGUAAGUCCGCUGUGAAAGUCGGGGGCUCAACCCUCGGAAGCCGGUGGAUACUGUCGGGCUCGAGUACGGAAGAGGCGAGUGGAAUUCCUGGUGUAGCGGUGAAAUGCGCAGAUAUCAGGAGGAACACCAAUUGCGAAGGCAGCUCGCUGGGACGUGACUGACGCUGAGACGCGAAAGCGUGGGGAGCAAACAGGAUUAGAUACCCCUGUAGUC